GAUGAACGCUAGCUACAGGCUUAACACAUGCAAGUCGAGGGGUAACGAGAGGAAAGCUUGCUUCCCUUGUCGACGACCGGCGCACGGGUGAGUAACGCGUAUCCAACCUGCCCCCAACUAGGGAAUAACCUUGCGAAAGUAAGACUAAUACCCUAUAAUUUCCUCAGAUGUCAUCUGACGAGGAAUAAAGAUUUAUCGGUUGUGGAUGGGGAUGCGUCUGAUUAGCUUGUUGGCGGGGUAACGGCCCACCAAGGUAACGAUCAGUAGGGGUUCGGGGAGGAAGGUGCCCCACAUUGGAACUGAGACACGGUCCAAACUCCGACGGGAGGCAGCAGUGAGGAAGAUUGGUCAAGGGGCGGAAGCCUGAACCAGCCAAGUAGCGUGCAGGAUGACGGCCCUAUGGGUUGUAAACUGCUUUUAUACAGGAAUAAAGUUAGCCACGUGUGGUUAUUUGUAGGUACUGUAUGAAUAAGGACCGGCUAAUUCCGUGCCAGCCGCCGCAGUAA
rnacentral:rRNA from 1 species